rnacentral:rRNA from 1 species
UACGGAGGAUCCGAGCGUUAUCCGGAUUUAUUGGGUUUAAAGGGUGCGCAGGCGGGGGAAUAAGUCAGUGGUGAAAAGCUGCCGCUCAACGGUAGUCUUGCCAAUGAUACUGUUUUUCUUGAGUAUGGUUAAGGUAGGUGGAAUGUGCAGUGUAGCGGUGAAAUGCAUAGAGAUUGCACAGAAGGCCGAUUGCGAAGGCAGCUUACUGAACCAUAACUGACGCUCAUGCACGAAAGCGUGGGGAUCAAACAGGAUUA